GGAUAUGAGGGCAAUCUGGCUGGGACAUCUGUCACCCCACUGAUCACCAGGGUUGAUUCGGCUGACCUGGCUGGAUAAGUGGGAGUCCCCUUCCUCCCCCACCACUCCAUGCGCAGGCUCAGUCGCAGAGGACGACCUUCCCAGAACAGAGGAGGACAGGCUUUCAGUCAAGGGCGUUCGAGUAGCUGCGCUCCCCCUGCUGGAAUCUCCAACAGGCUCUCAGGAACUCCUUGCGCAAGUUGUAGGCCUUGGUGACCCCGUGUGUU
rnacentral:snRNA from 1 species